rnacentral:rRNA from 1 species
CAACUCUAUGCGGUGGAUCACUCGGCUCGUGCGUCGAUGA